UACGAAGGGGGCUAGCGUUGCUCGGAAUCACUGGGCGUAAAGCGCACGUAGGCGGCUUUCUAAGUCAGGGGUGAAAUCCUGGAGCUCAACUCCAGAACUGCCUUUGAUACUGGAGAGCUCGAGUCCGGAAGAGGUGAGUGGAACUGCGAGUGUAGAGGUGAAAUUCGUAGAUAUUCGCAAGAACACCAGUGGCGAAGGCGGCUCACUGGUCCGGUACUGACGCUGAGGUGCGAAAGCGUGGGGAGCA
rnacentral:rRNA from 1 species